GUAAAGAAUUUUGUAAAACUAUCUGUAAUUGUUGUACUUCUCUUGGGUAAAAAGUUCAACAUAAUAACGCCUUUUGCGUCCAAAAAUACUGUGGUCAUCACCUUGCCAGCAGAUUAUUGCGUCUUGAACUUCUUUGGCCUCGGGUACCCAGGCCCUACCCACUGACGACUCUGAGCUUUGUUCUCUGGCUCAUAAUAAUGAACCAUCUACAGUCACCAGACGUAAAGACGCAUUACAUUCAAAAAGAUUUCAGGUAGAUCACACCACCACCACGUCACAGUUUAUGAACGUAACAAUGUAUAAUACGUCAUAAUCCACACGAUGUAUAUUACGUCAUAAUCCAUUCUUCCUUACCACCAAACCAAAACAAACGCUUGCUUGGAGUCAGUAUCUACAUUCCUGUGGUAAUAAAAAUGGAAUUUCAAAACGACAUGUUUUUGGGAAGUGAACCAAGUCCUGAUUUUGUUCCCCGUGACAGAAUCAGAGACACAAUUUUCAGAAUUGAAAAUCUGAAAGCAACCAAUGCAAAUACUUGUUCAUUUUUGCCGUCAUGGGUAAAUGACAAGUAUUUCACUCAGUUAUAUACAACGACGGAAACCAAGAGUAAUGCAUUGGAGAUAACCACCGAAAGAGUAGAUAAGAGAGACACAUUGAGGACGGCGGAACCAAAAUGCAGUGGUGAAGAACUGGACACAAAAUCAAAGGAUGUUUCGGAAUCAACAGUCCUGAAACUAGAUACGAUUGAAAAGAGCCUCGUUGUAGAAAAGACUGAGAAUAAUUCAGAUCCAGACCUACAGCGCGAAAAGGAAUAUGAAUGGCAGAAAAAACAUGCUUGCCUAAUGAACCACAUUCUAGAAGAGCAAAAAACGAGACCAAAGCAGUGAAACCAAAUAUUGUGCAGUACAGGUUCCUCUGCACCACCGUGCUGUCUCCUGCUGAGGAACCCCGUGUGGUGGCGAGACGGAGGUUCACAUGGAGGGAACGGAUCCUGAGGUUCUUUGGAUUUUUAAAACGAUGACACUUAGAACUGUGUGUAAAGAUGGAAACGUGAUUAUAUAGAUUUGUGACACUUUGUAUAUGUUUAACUUAUUGUUUCUGAUGUUUAAAGUGGAUUAAAAAAAUUCUUAAUUUUAUUUUAAAUCGCA